GAAGAAUUCGUUGUGAGGAGACAAGAGAUUCACAGUCCACAAACCUGGUUCCAUAAUGGAUGGUCCUCAGAGAAGAAAGAAAACUUUGAGUAACCUAGUGAAUGGUCCAGAAGGUGGAUAAACCUCUAAGAUAAUAGCAUGAAAUUUGCCAUAAUGAUAUCAUCAGCAGGUCAGAUGGGACACAAGCGUCUGUGGAUUUACUUUCAACUCCACUGCCACAUAUUAGUGGAGACUCCAGGAGUGGAUGAAUUUUUUGCAGAUGAGGCUCCUUCUCCUUGUCUCAACUUCUCUUCCAACUAA
rnacentral:lncRNA from 1 species